GUGGCCGUAGCUCAGUUGGUUAGAGUGCCAGAUUGUGACUCUGGAGGCCGGGGGUUCAAAUCCCCUCGGUCACC
rnacentral:tRNA from 1 species